UACGGAGGGUGCGAGCGUUGUCCGGAAUCACUGGGCGUAAAGGGCGCGUAGGUGGCUUGGCAAGCGUGUGGUGAAAGCCCGGGGCUCAACCCCGGAACUGCCUUUAAGACUGCAUCGCUUGAAUCCAGGAGAGGUGAGUGGAAUUCCGAGUGUAGAGGUGAAAUUCGUAGAUAUUCGGAAGAACACCAGUGGCGAAGGCGGCUCACUGGACUGGUAUUGACGCUGAUGUGCGAAAGCGUGGGGGAGCAAACAG
rnacentral:rRNA from 1 species